AGCUUUGUACAGUAGGAGUAUCAUAGCCAGUGAGGUUUAUCUGAGGAAUGAUUAUUGCUAAUUGAAAUUACUCAGUGGCUCAGCCUUCUGAGUGGACUGAAGUGGAUAUAAACACAAUCAACCAACUAGAUAUAGUUGGUAGUUAUAGAUCACUCCAUCCAACAACAGCAG
ensembl:snRNA U4 U4 spliceosomal RNA